UACGUAGGGUGCGAGCGUUAAUCGGAAUUACUGGGCGUAAAGCGUGCGCAGGCGGUUCGUUGUGUCGGUGGUGAAAGCCCCGGGCUUAACCUGGGAAUGGCCAUGGAAACUGGCGAACUGGAGUGUGGCAGAGGGGGGUGGAAUUCCGCGUGUAGCAGUGAAAUGCGUAGAUAUGUGGAGGAACACCGAUGGCGAAGGCAGCCCCCUGGGUUAACACUGACGCUCAUGCACGAAAGCGUGGGGAGCAAACAGG
rnacentral:rRNA from 1 species